UUAUCCAGCAGAGCUCAUGUUGACACUCUUAGCUUGCGUCGUCGUGACAAUACAGUCCACCAUUGUGGCUCUGAUAGUGGAGAAAGACGUGAAUGCUUGGAAGUUGAAGCCUGACAUAGAGUUGAUGACCAUAGUUUACUCGGUAAGCACCAAGUACAGAGAAUGCAACUGUUUGAAAUAUAAAAGCUAAAAGCACUUCUGACUAGUAAAUUUGUGCUUGAUAACAUCAUGGGCGAUUGAUCCUUUAUAGGCAUUUUUCGUGGUAUCUAUAAGGAGUGUGACGCACACAUGGGUGUGCAAGACCAAAGGGCCUCUCUACCUCUCCAUGAUUAAGCCACUUGGCAUGAUCAUUGCCUCUGUGAUGGGGGUUUCUUUGCUUGGUGACACUCUUUAUCUUGGAAGGUAUGAGCAAAUUAAGUCAUUUUCUGAAGAAGAAGAAAACAUGAGUUCAGUCAACUAGAUUCAAUGUCUUGUUGAUCUUUUUCCAAGACAGUAGCAUAUACAACUUGAUUCAAAUUGUGUGUGUGCAGUGUGAUUGGAGGAAUCAUAAUAGCUUUUGGGUUUUAUGCUGUCGUGUGGGGGAAAGCCCAGGAAGAGAAGGUGGUUGAAGAAAGUGGAAGUAUCAGCUGCGAGUCUUCCUCUCCUAAAGUACCUCUUUUGAACAAACACAUGGAAGCAUAGCACAUCUCUUACCUAGACUGCCAUCCGAUUUUGGAUUCAUAUUCGGAUACAUGGCCAGGCUCAAACAGGGAAUUUUUAUAGAACAACAUGCACUUUUGUUCAUUUGUUUGUAUGCUCAGAUGCUUUUAUUAGAUAAAGCAGACUUACUUGCAUGCUUAGGACUUCUGAUCCUUGUAAAGUUUCCAUUGCCAAGUAUCUUUUUUGGUGUCUUGGCAUUGUAAUGUUUUUCUUUUUGAUCCACUGCUGGCGGGUGAAAGAAGAACUCGUC
rnacentral:lncRNA from 1 species